AGAGAUUCUGCAAAUACAAAUCCCUUCCCAAUGACAAACUUUCUGGGAGAUGGGCUAGCAGAUAUAAAGGUGCCUGUCCACUGUUCAAGGGCAUUCAAAUGUUUCAUCCAGAGUCCACACGGUGGCCUGAAACUAUGUUUGUGAGGUCUUAGACAAGGUGGCAACAACUUUCCUAUUAACAUCCAAACAUCCAACUAUCUUCUGCUUUUACAAAGCCUGUUCCCCUCUCACCAAGCUGUGAUGAUGCCUUUUCCUCACUGAAGUAACAGCUGUGAGGCUCCCUGGCUCCUAGGUGAAUUGGCUGGUCCUGCAGACUUAUCUGGUUACUAAAUAAAAAGCCCUUUAAAGAAGAUUUGCUAGUGUGUGCCACUUUUGAUAUAUAGCCUUCCAUUUGUUCACUCACAGACAUGGAACUUAGAUUAAAAGUAGUAGAAAGUCAGUGUAAGGGGGUUUAAUGAGCGAUUGCAUGUCUAGCUUUUGAAAUAUAACAGUGUUUUCUCAUUUUGGCCAGAUAUCACACAUCCUGUCUGCUUACCUCUGAUGGAGGCUGUGACUCUUAUUCCCUUGUCCCAGCAGGCAUUUCCCUGUUAGUUAUUCUGAAAGCUGAACAGUGCCUAGCUCAUCAGAACUCUGAUGGUGAAAGAAUUAUAAUAUUUAAGGCUG